AUUGAACGCUGGCGGCAGGCCUAACACAUGCAAGUCGAACGAGUAGCGGACGGGUGAGUAAGGUCUGGGAAACUGCCUGAUGGAGGGGGAUAACUACUGGAACCGGUAGCUAAUACUGCAUACCAUCAGAUGUGCCCAGAUGGGAUUAGCUUGUUGGUGGGGUAACGGCUCACCAAGGCGACGAUCCCUAGCUGGUCUGAGAGGAUGACCGGCCACACUGGAACUGAGACACGGCCCAGACUCCUACGGGAGGCAGCAGUGGGGAAUAUUGGACAAUGGGCGAAAGCCUGAUGCAGCAAUGCCGCGUGUAUGAAGAAGGCCUUCGGGUUGUAAAGUACUGUCAGCGGGGAGGCGUUACCCGCAGAGGAAGCACCGGCUAACUCCGUGCCAGCCGCCGCGGUAAUAC
rnacentral:rRNA from 1 species